CCAAAAGGCCGCUUCCGCCACUUUCCCACCAGGCGGAAUUCCGUGAUCCGGCCUCGGGAGCCCCGACGCGCCACGAUGGGGAACGUCUUCGAGAAGCUGUUUAAAAGCCUGUUCGGGAAGAAGGAGAUGAGGAUCCUGAUGGUGGGCCUGGAUGCGGCGGGAAAGACCACAAUCUUGUACAAGCUGAAGCUGGGCGAGAUCGUGACCACCAUCCCCACCAUAGGUUUCAACGUGGAGACGGUCGAGUACAAGAACAUCAGCUUCACGGUCUGGGACGUGGGCGGCCAGGACAAGAUCCGGCCGCUGUGGCGUCACUAUUUCCAGAACACGCAAGGUCUGAUCUUCGUCGUGGACAGCAACGACCGCGAACGGGUCAACGAGGCCCGAGAAGAGCUCACCAGGAUGUUGGCCGAAGACGAACUCAGGGACGCCGUGUUGCUCGUGUUUGUGAACAAGCAGGACCUGCCCAACGCCAUGAACGCGGCGGAGAUCACGGAUAAGCUGGGCCUCCACUCCCUCCGCCACCGAACGUGGUACAUCCAGGCCACCUGCGCCACCAGCGGGGACGGGCUCUACGAGGGGCUGGACUGGCUGGCCAACCAGCUCAAAAACCAGAAGUGACCCCCCUCCCGCCCGCCCCCGUCCCCCCAGACCCGGCCUCUUUCGGGGCCUGAGUCGGGGCCCGACCUCCUCACACCACGUGCCUUCUACAUGCUGCAAAGAAACCAACGACAAACCAAGUAGUAUCGCACUCGGACCCACCUCCCACCCCGACGGCCUCCGUCGUCGCCCCCGGACGGGCCGGGGAGAGCCCAAGGCGGCGGCGGCCGAGACGCCACGCUUGGACUUUCGGUCCCCCCCCCCACCUCUCCGAACUCUGCACCCCUAAAGCGGGUCGGCGUCGAUCGCUGGGAAGGGUCGCGCCGCGGGAGGUGACGGAGUCCUCCCUCACAGCUUUGGGAUCACUUCAGCUCCGGGAACCGAGGAUCGGGGGGACGAGGGAAGGGGCAGGUUGGAGGGGACGGACACGGUGGGGGAGCCCGGGCCACCGUCCGUGUCAGGGUGGAGGCCCAGGGGGAGGUAGCCCUCCGGCCCGCGUCCCCAGGCCGCUUUUUAGAACACACCUGUGUUGGAAUUUAAAUCCGUAGAAUUUACUUCUGUGAGGGGUGGGUGCGUGUGUGUAGGUGUGUCGCGUUUCAUAGGAUCUCUCGGGGUGGGGGGGGAUGGUAUAUGUGUGUUUGUAUGUCAGGUUCAUAGGCGUUUACUUUUCUGUGAGAUGCGUGUGUGUGUCUGUAGCAGGUUCCAUAGUAUUUACUUCUCAGAGGUGUGCGUGGUCCCAUGGUAUUUCUCUGUAAAGGUAUGUGUGUGUGGUUCCAUAGUAUUUCUCUGUAAGUUGUGUGUGUGUGUGUGUGUGUGUGUGUGUGUGUGUGUGUGUCUCUCACUCCCUCU